rnacentral:rRNA from 1 species
ACAUCCAGCGAACUUGGCAGAGAUGCCUUGGUGUCUUCGGGAACGCUGAGACAGGUGCUGCAUGGCUGUCGUCAGCUCGUGUUGUGAAAUGUUGGGUUAAGUCCCGNAACGAGCGCAACCCUUAUCCUUUGUUGCCAGCGAUUCGGUCGGGAACUCAAAGGAGACUGCCGGUGAUAAACCGGAGGAAGGUGGGGAUGACGUCAAGUCAUCAUGGCCCUUACGAGUAGGGCUACACACGUGCUACAAUGGCGCAUACAAAGAGAAGCGACCUCGCGAGAGCAAGCGGACCUCAUAAAGUGCGUCGUAGUCCGGAUCGGAGUCUGCAACUCGACUCCGUGAAGUCGGAAUCGCUAGUAAUCGUGGAUCAGAAUGCCACGGUGAAUACGUUCCCGGGCCUUGUACACACCGCCCGUCACACCAUGGGAGUGGGUUGCAAAAGAAGUAGGUAGCUUAACCUUCGGGAGGGCGCUUACCACUUUGUGAUUCAUGACUGGGGUGAAGUCGUAACAAGGUAAGCGUAGUGCU